rnacentral:rRNA from 1 species
AUUGAACGCUGGCGGCAGGCUUAACACAUGCAAGUCGAGCGAGCGGCGGACGGGUGAGUAAUGUCUGGGAAACUGCCUGAUGGAGGGGGAUAACUACUGGAAACGGUAGCUAAUACCGCAUACCAUCAGAUGUGCCCCGAUGGGAGUAGCUAGUAGGUGGGGUAAUGGCUCACCUAGGCGACGAUCCCUAGCUGGGCUGAGAGGAUGACCAGCCAAACGGGAACGGAGACCAGGUCCAGACGCCUACGGGAGGCAGCAGUGGGGAAUAUUGCAAAAUGGGCGAAAGCCUGAUGCAGCCAGGCCGCGUGUGGGAAGAAGGCCUUCGGGUGGUAAAGCACUUGCAGCGAGGAGGCGUUACUCGCAGAAGAAGCACCGGCUAACUCCGUGCCAGCAGCCGCGGUAAUUC